UACGUAGGGUGCAAGCGUUGUCCGGAAUUAUUGGGCGUAAAGGGCUCGUAGGCGGUCUGUCACGUCGGGAGUGAAAACACGGGGCUUAACCCCGUGCCUGCUUCCGAUACGGGCAGACUAGAGGUAUGCAGGGGAGAACGGAAUUCCUGGUGUAGCGGUGAAAUGCGCAGAUAUCAGGAGGAACACCGGUGGCGAAGGCGGGUCUCUGGGCCGAUAUUGACGCUGAGGAGCGAAAGCGUGGGGAGCGAACAGG
rnacentral:rRNA from 1 species